AUUGAACGCUGGCGGCAGGCCUAACACAUGCAAGUCGAGCGGAGCGGCGGACGGGUGAGUAAUGCCUAGGAAUCUGCCUGGUAGUGGGGGAUAAAGUCCGGAAAAGGGCGCUAAUACCGCAUACUAUCAGAUGAGCCUAGGUCGGAUUAGCUAGUUGGGGGGGUAAAGGCCUACCAAGGCGACGAUCCGUAACUGGUCUGAGAGGAUGAUCAGUCACACUGGAACUGAUACACGGCCCAGACUCCUACGGGAGGCAGCAGUGGGGAAUAUUGGACAAUGGGCGAAAGCCUGAUCCAGCCAUGCCGCGUGUGUGAAGAAGGCCUUCGGGUUGUAAAGCACUUUCAGCGGGGAGGCGUUACCCACAGAAGAAGCACCGGCUAACUCCGUGCCAGCAGCCGCGGUAAUAC
rnacentral:rRNA from 1 species